CCGACGUCGAUGAGGAGAAGCUCUUGGAAUCACUGCAAUCAGGCUCAUCUACGUCUAUGAGUUUUUCACCUUUAUUUUCAAUGCGUUUUCUUAUGCUUGAAGUUGUCUUCAGAGGAGUCCUUGGCCAACUACCGAGAACAAUGGACUGAGUAAUCGGAGGCGCGGAAGGGCUGGAAAUAGUUCCUUCUCCCAGCAACUCCGCAGCCAGCCUGAUCAGAACCUUUGCUGUGAGCAAGCUAUCGUAACCCGCUUCGUGGAGCGGCUUUUCGUCAACAUAUUUAUCAUAUUCUGGAUCGAGAACUAAAUUGCACUCGGUUAGAAUAUGCAAUUCUCCAUAUGGGCUGUGUUAAAAAACGUACGUAUUCUUGGAGUCCUCCUCUGCGCCAGUUUGUCGUGAAUUUCUGUCAGGGACGAUGAGGGUGUCAUUGAUGAACAAUUGUGCGUUGCCAUAUAUUUCGUGUCAAUAACUAGGGGAAAUAAAGCAUGGAUAGCGUUCUUGAAAUCUUCGACGCGAUCCGGAAGGUCCCCAAUGAAGCAUUUGUAAAAGUUAAUGAGCUAUGAAAGCCCCUUGGGUCCAUUGCAGAGAGGUCACCUCCAACCAUGCCCUCAACAACCCAUCGAAACCCC
rnacentral:sRNA from 1 species